CUGGAACUUAAGACUGGGACCCGAGCUGUUGGGGAAUCGGCCUCGGGGCAGCAGCCGAAGUGAGGAACUGGGUCCCACAGGAAAACGGGACUAAGGACAGCAGGGGUGUGUGGCCAGCCCUGGAAGGGGCGGGGCCAGGGGCAAACAGCCACAAGGGGCUGGGGCUGGAGGCGCUCAAAAGCGGAGAAGGCGGAGUCCCAGGCCCAGCCGGCGGUACCGCUGGGAAGUGAGGGCGCCUUGGACGGCGAGGGCAACUCUUAUCAGUUUGACUGUCUGAAAUGCAGCACGGCGCUAGGCGCUCUCCAGACCUCCCUGUGACUCCAACAGGCUGUGACCUUGGCGUGGGGGUCUGGAAUACGUGUGGGCGCUGGUGCGGGGGAGAGGGAAUGGCGACGCGGAAGAGCAGGACAGACGCGGAGGGUCAGAGAGCAGCUUUAUUAAGCAAGCUGGUGGAGGGCUGUGGGUCCCACCACCCCCGGGCUCGGCGCCAGGGCGGAAGGUCCGGGGGUGCCGUUCAGGCCACGUCGACGCGAGCGAAGCUCUGGUCCAUGCCCAGGCUGUUCUCCACGUACACCUCGUACUUGCCGCUGUCCUGAGGCGUGGCCCGGCGAAUGGUCAGCGUCGUGGUGGUGCUGCCGAUCUCGAAGAACACCCUGCGGAAGGGCGGCGGGGAGGAGGGCGGAGCCGUGGUCAGUACACGGGCGCACUGGGCGGGGCUCCUUAGCCAGCUCUGUUCCUCGCUGCCCAGUCCCCGCCCCCGUCACUCCAGCCAGAUUUCUGGGCUCAGUCCCACCCAGGUUCCAGCCCCAGGCCCUGGCCGUGCCGCAGGUCCCGGCCCUCGCCUGUCAUCCUCCUCGAUGUCCUCCCCGUCCUUGGUCCAGCCUACGUCGGGCGCAGGCUCUCCCAGGAUCUCCGCAGUCAGCGUCACGGUGGUGCCUUUGCGCGCCUUAGUGUUGUCGGGUCCCUUUUGAAUCUUCGUCGGGACUAGCGGAAGGAAAGGGGAGCGAAACCCCGUGAAGGACCCGGAGAUGAGGCAGGGCAUCACCUCACCGGCUAAUACCCGGCACUAAAUACAGAUGCAUUUAAACUCGCAGUGUGACGUUGAGCAAAUCAUUAGCCUCUCUGGUUUCAUCUCCUUGGCUGUUAAAGGGACUUAUCCCUGCCUCUCCUACUUCUCGGGGUCGAAUAGAGGAUCAAGAGAGAUAAGGCGGGCGAAAGCCCCUGAAUGUUCACACAUCUCGCGGUGCCUCAGAGACCGCUCCGGGUAGUGGAAAUUGCCAGAGUUGGGAGCCAGAAGACCCGGGUCCAACCCUGGCUCUGCCUCUGGCUUGCUGUGUGACCUUGGGGACCCGGAGCCGCGUGAUGGAAGUCCACAGCUGACUGCUCAGCCCGGGUGGAGCUGGAUCCCGAGGUAGGGAAGGACGCACUUGGCUGGCGCGGCGAUGCGCCCCAGGCCGUGCCCAGAGCUGGGCUGGCGGGGACCCUGUAGCUAGGCCCAGAGGUAAACACGCGCAGCUGGACCGGGCUGCGGGCUCUGGCUGAGUGGUGCUGGUCUGCGCCCUGGCGCUGCGCCCGGGGCGCGCGUACCUUCCACGAGGAUGCGCGCCGAGUCGGAGCACUGGCCGAAGGGGUUGGUGACGUUGAUGCUGUACUGGCCCAGGUCUGCCAGCUCGCCGUCGCGCACCACCAGUGCCACCACGUCAGGGUCCUCGAAGACGUAGCGGUACUUGGGACCGUCACGUAGCUCCUUGCCGUCCUUACUCCAGCGGAUGAAUGGGUCCGGGAAAGCCGAAAUGCGGCAAGUGAGCUUGGCCGCGCUGCCUUCGAUCAGCACCACGUCCUUCAGCGGCUCCAGCACCCGCGGCGGCCCCUUCUCGCGCAGCUCCUUCCGGGACCUACCCGCGGGCCGAGUCAGGGCCCAGAGUUCCUAAGACAGGCCCGGCCACAGCCCUUACCGCGAGCGCACCAUCUCCUACCUGCCCCCUGGACCGGCCAGACCCCUAAACGUGUGGCUUGGUAGGGAAGAGGACUGCUCCUGAACUGCUGCCCUGAUAGGAUGAUGCAUUCCUCCCGGCCACUCCCCCAUACCUCAGUAACGACCCUCCCCUGAGACCACUCAUUCUAAAGGCUCCUGACGCUGCUCAGCGCUUACUCAAACCCUACUCAAGAGUGCGCUCUCUGCAGCUCCCUUCCUCCACAGGGCUCCGGGGUUCCCUCUCACCUGUGGCCCCGGUAAGAGGCCUGGAUACGAAUGGCCGCACUCUGGACCUGUGGGUCAUUGAUGUCCAGGGUACAUCCAGGAGCUGGGGCCACAGCCACUGGCUUUUUGGCAGGAGCUGCUUUAGACAUCUGGGGAGUGGGCGACAAAUAUGGGGGUCCAGGUUGAGACAGAGGCUCCCACCUUCAGCCCUUUUCCUCCCUGGUCAGAACAUUCAGGGAGAUGGAGGAAUGGGGGUGUCUGCGGCUUCUCUGAGGAUCAGACUCACCGUGGAGGGGUUGACCUAGGGACUUGAGUCGACUGGCUGGAUUGCAGGCAGCACAGAGCCCUUCUGGAUGGCACAGUAGGGGUGCAGGCAGGUGCUCAGCCCUGGGCCCGGUUUUAUACAUCGCUCCCCUCCUUGCCUUGUUUGGCGUGGUUGCCCCAAGCCCCCCGGGGCCCCAUCCGCCUCCCUCUGACUCAGGCAGGCUCUUUAUUUAGCCUGUGGAUGCCUGGGAUGCUGGCUCAGCCGCUGGGCUAGGCCCGUGGGGAGAAACCCGAGCAGCUCUGAGGUGCACCUUGCGUCAGCACCUGGACAGCUGGACAGCUGGAUGCUGCCCUGUCCCCUCCCAGGGCAGGGGGUAUCCAUCCCACUCCCAGGAGGACCAGAUUCAGCCCCUAGCUGACAAGAGAUCCAGCUUCCUGCUGGGGCAGCUUUUCAAUCAGGUUGGGCUCUGGAUAGUCAGACAACACACCCUGUUGGUUAAGGGGUUUGAGUGUUUCUGGGGUUUCCCUGAAUACAGCCAGAGUAGCAUCGGACUUGGUCCUCAGGGCCCCUACAGCUAACGGCAACAGGGCCACGUGGCUGUCAAGACCAAUCCAGAAGCUCCUUACUCUUCCCCUACCCCCAACCCCAGGAGUCCAGGGUUGUCACUUCCACACUGUGCCCCCUGGCGGUAAACUGAGAUAAACCGGGAGGGGACGGGAAAGAUUUUUGAGAAUAGCAGCCCCUCCAUGCCUUCCCCAUCCCCACUCACUCCCCUCGAUGUCACAUGGUGGGGGCUGUUUAGACUGCACUGUCCUUGGAGAUUAGCACCACUACUGGCCCCAACCCUAGGUCUGCCCAAUUCCUUUUUGGGGGCAUAAAUUGGUGCAUAGGGGCAUCAGACCACCUGGGGUGAAGGGGUUCAGUUAACCCCUCUGGGGAUUGCCUGGAGGCCAGUCUGCCCAGGCCGGGCACCGGGCAGAAGCAUUGCUUCCAUUCAUUGGAACUACCCGCCCUAGUGUGGGGGCACUGUCACGUUUUGAUCAGAGCAAUUUUGACAUAGCUCUGCUGACAUAAAUUACCUUUGCUCCUCCGGGUUUGGAACAAGCAGUUCACAUGCCAUUUCCAAUGGAGAUGGGAAGGGAGCUCAAGAUCAGAGCGGGGACGGGAGAGGAAUUUUACCAUUUAUCAAGAUAUGAGUUCAGGCACCUCAUUUUUAUACAAAACACUUGCAGUGUGUAGGGGAUUGGAGAUUCUUACAGGCAAACUGUAUAUCUUCAUCGCUAAAAUGACAGGUAGGCAAGGUGUCGUUCUGGUCCCUUCCAGCUGGCUUUAACAUCCUGUUAUUUUAUGAUGAUGGGGCUUGCCUCUUCCCUGGGGUCCUGAGAAGCUAGAGAGGCUGGGCUGGGCUGGGCAAAAGGGUUGUCUGGGCUGGAGCCAAGGGGCCCUCAACCUCCAUCAGCAACACAGCAGUGACAACUCUGUCUACCCUGGUCAGAGGCUUUGUUCCUUUUACUUUGCCAAGAACAGAAUUUUGAAGGUGGGGAUGAGGGAAACAUUUCCUCUGGAGACAAGGAGGUCUGGGUCCCUGCCAACCCCCCAAUCCCUCGUCCCCAACCUCAGGGCAGAGCAGCUCAGUCCUAGGUCCCAGUGACCAUUCUAUGGCACGGGUGUGGCUAGAAUUGAGGUGCUUUAGCACCCAGCAGACCUCCUAACUUGCCAUGUGGACAAGAAGGUCCAGGCUGGUGUGUCCCUCAGCCCUAGGAAAAUGCUGGACACAGCAGACUAGAGCACUCCCAGCUGGUGCUCUCCAUGUGCUCUGAUAUGUGCUGUGACAUGGAGGGCAAGGGGUGUGAGCCUGUCCUAGUGUUUCUUUUUGAGAUGGAGUCUCACUCUGUCAUCCAGGCUGGAGCGCAGUGGUGCAAUCUUGGCUCAUUGCAACCUUCACCUCCCAGGUUUAAGCGAUUCUCCUGCCUCAGCCUCCUGAGUAGCUGAGAUCACAGGUGUGCACCACCACGCCUGGCUAAUUUUUGUAUUUUUAGUAGAGACGGGGUUUCAUCAUGUUGGCUAGGCUGGUCUUGAACUCCUGACCUCAGGUGAUCCAGCCACCUUAGCCUCCCUGUCCUGGUUUCUUCUGCAGCUCCUCACACUACCUACUCUCACCAACCAUCAGGAUGAAACCCACUCUGCUCCAGGGGUCAGGACCAGAGCUCCUGCCUGUCUUCUGGGGAGAGUGAACAAGGCUGAGCCAGGAUUGGGGUGAGGGCUGGCCUAUUUCAGAGCCCAGCAUCCCCCACAUUGUGAUGAGGGAACACGUGACAAGAGGUGGGGGCUACUAGAGCCUGGUUGCAGGGGUUCAGUGGAUCUGCCAACAUUCCGGAAACUGCAAGGGGAGAAGCAGACCACAGUCUCCCCUCCCUCCAGGAAUAAGGAGAGGUGAGGGGCCAGGAGGGUCACGGGAGGGGGUUGGAAGGACCCAAAGUGCUAGCUGGUAUAUUCCUGAAUGUGUGUGUUGGGGAAUACCCAGAGAGGGCUAAAUGCCCCUGUCCCGGACUCACCCCUCACCAGCCAUCUUCCCCUCCAGCCAUCCCUCCCAAUAGACACACAGGUUAUGCUGCUUGCCAUUUUUAUUUCCUUGUGGCAGACAGACAGACAGCUGGAUGGCUGGGAGGGAUGGUCAGGACAACAUGGGCAGUAGGGAUCGGAUGGAAGGGGAAACUUCAUAAAAGUCAAUAAAUAAAUAAAUAUGAAUGGGAAGAAGGCCAGAGGCCAUGGAGGGGCAGUGGGGACAUCCUUGGGCCAGCAGAGCGCCCAGGGCUGUAUCCACUGGACAGGAGGACAGAGCGAGUGUGAGUGACUGCUGGCCUCCAGCUCUCCACAUUUCUCCUCUGAGGGAUGCUGACAGCUGACCCACCCCACCUCCACCUGAGUCCUCUCUUCUCCCUCUGCCGCCUCGCUGCCUUCUCUCAUGUCCCAGCCCUGGGCCCCUGCCACUGUAUCUGUGUCCUGCCCCCGCUUUGCCACACUGACUCCCAGCCUACUGCCCUGACACCUGGGGCUCCUUCCUUUUCCUCCUCUCCAGCCAUGCCCACCUUCCUUGGUUCUCCCUGAGAUGCACUGACCCCCAACCCAGAACCUUCCUAGAGCCUCCCCCUUCCUGUCCCUCGAUUCCUUUUCCUCUCCACUUCUCCAUUCCCCUCUUGUCCCUCUGCCUGUUCCCACCCUGCUGAGCCUGACCAAUGGGUCUCCCACUCUGGCUUUGGCCUGGGGUGGCAUCAGGUCCAGGCCCUGGGGUCUCUGUCCUUGAAGGUCUAUGAGGUAAGAGCCCAGCCAGAUGUUGCUGCUGGUGGUAACCGAAGCCCCAGGCCCGCCUGGCUCAGCGUGGGCCCUGGAAUGUCCCGUGGCAUUGGUGGGAACCCCAGUUGAAGCCCGAGGCCUGGCUGUGGUCCGUGCCUCUAGGGGCCGCCAGGGUAGGAGCGCAGCAGCACCUUGUGGCGGGUGGCAGCCUCAGCCCGGCGCCGCCGCUGCUCGCCCAGGAACUCCUUGAGCCGGUUGGUGGUGAAGGUGAGCGUCUGGCGGCGCAGCUUCAUCAGGUAGGCGUCCUGCAACCAUGGGUGGGCCAGGCAGUCCUGCAGGGAGGGCCGGCUCCUGCCAGGCAGAGCCAGGGAUGAUGAACCUGGAAGGAAGCUCUGGGAGCUGCCGGGGCUCUGUCCUCCCGCAGACCCAUGUCCCAGUCCUGGAUCCCACCCCUACAUGUGUGAUCUUGGGCAGCUCAAGAGCUCAGUUCCCCAGUCUCCGGAAUGGGGACAGUGAGUCUGCCUUGCACGGGGCUGCCUCAGGCUUUAAAUGGUGGGUAGUAUGACCAUUUAGUAGAAGCAGCAGACUUCUUCCUAGGAGCAGGGGAGGAGCUGGGAGAUCUCUGGCACAGGCCAGGCCAGGGGCAGGUAACACUGGGGGAUAGCAGGUGUGGGGCUCACUCACCAGGGAUGUACAGAGAGAACCUUUCGCAAGAAGAGGGUGGCGCUCUGGGAUGUAUUGGGGUACAGCUGGAAGGCAUCAAAGCGGCCCCCCACAAUCCGAGCCUCCGUUUCCUGGGGGUCUGGCUCAUAGAACGGGGAGCGUCCACUGAGCCUGUUGGGGAAGAUAGCUUGAUUGACGUAUGCAGACCGGAGGCCAACACCCAGACCCAGAAGGACAUUAGUGUCAGGUGCACAGUGCUCAGGGCCAUGCUACUGUGCACCUGAGUGUGAGUGUGCAGUGUGGAUGUGUGUACAGGGGAGGUGGGGCACGGGGGAGAGGGUGUUGGCAGAAGGUGAGUCCGGGAGCUCACUGUAUGGGCAGAGAGGGCUGCGGUGGGGUAGGGGACACUCACAUAAUGUAAGUGAGCACACCCGCUCCCCAGAUGUCCGUGGCAGAGCCGAUGGGUUCUCCCUUCACCAUCUCCGGAGCUGACAGGAGACAGAGGCCAAGCUGACCCAGCUUCCUGGUGGCAGGGAAGUGGGGGCGGGGGAGGUCCCUGGGUGCUUGAGCAGCAGGACAAUGUCCUGGUCACCAGACCAUGGGAAUGUCCAGAGUGGCAGGCCCUGAAGGCCAGUAGGCAGGACAGAGGUGGUGGCAUACCCCAAGAGACAUAUGGGUCACCUGAGGAAUUAACCCAGGCACAAAAUGGCGGGGUCCCCAGAACUCCAGAGGGGCUGAGAAGCAGGGUGACAAGCUCCCUUGGAUCGGCUCCAAGGUAUGGCUCCCAUUCACAAAGAGUGUGGCUGACACCAAGAUUAAAAGCCUUCAAAAUCAGCCUGGCUGGCUCUAAUCCCAGACCUGCCCCUUCUAGCUAUGGGACCCUGGGCGAUUUACUAAACCUGCCUGGCUCUCCACAGCCUCAUCCGUAAAGUGUGGCCUGUAGAACCACACCAAGGAAGAGAGAUCAUGAACGUCAAGCAUUUAGCAGGGUGCUCGAUGGUAGCUGGUUCUCCUUAUUUAAAUAAAAUAAUAAUUGAUUCUCCUGUCUUUUUGGCUGUAGUGAAUCCUGCCUCUAGCAUUUAUAAUUGUCUGAUUGCACAAAUCCCUAACAUCAGUACCCCUCAGUUUCCUCAUCUGUAAAAGGGGGCUAAUAUUAUGCCACACUCCAGGGUUAUUGUAAAGAUCAAUCCACAUACUUCGUUCAUUGCUUGAAUACAGUAAUCACUCAAUAAGUGGCACAUAUGUAAGUGAAGUGGGGUGAGCCCUGGCUGCUGCCUCUCUGGCAGGGCCCUGUCCCCACCCUGGCUGGCAGCUGGUCCCCUCACCCAUGAACUCCAGCGUGCCCGUGCGGUGGCCAAGGGGCCUAAGGGCCUGGGGGUUGUAGGGCUGGGCACUGCCAAAGUCCACAAUCUUGAGGGCAUUGUCAGGGGCCAGCAGCAGGUUGUCUGGCUUGAUGUCUAGGUGGAGCACGUGGUGGCCGUGGAGGUAGUCCAGGCCUUGUAGCAGCUGCACCAUGUAAGUGGCCACGUCAUCCUCAGAAUACCGGAACCUGGGAGGGCAGGGAUGGAGCAGAUGAUACCCGGCCCAGCCUCCCCUACCUCUUCCUCCCUACUCCCCUAGAAUUCCCAGCUACCUGUCACUGAGCCCACAGAGGAGUUCCCGGUUGCCACAGCUCUCAGCAAUGAGCACGAGGUACCGAGGGGUGAUGUAGGCCUCGUGCAGGGACAUGAUCCGCUCGUGGUGCAGGGUCCGCAGCACCUCGUACUCCUGCAGGACCCGCCGCUUGCCCUCGGCAGCAUAGGGCACGAUCUUGGCCACGAACGUUCGCCCCGUGGCAUUCUCCCGGCACGCUCGCACAACACCAAAGCGGCCCCUGUGUGUCGGGGGGAGGGACACCACCGGCUCAGAGGAGAGGAGGGGGACACUUCCAUAGUGAGGGCUAACGGAGGAGAGCAGGGACCCCUAGGGGCAAGAAUGCAGUGGUUCCAGUGUGGGCUCCAGAGUUCAAUCCUAGAAACCAGGGUUCGAGUCCCACCUUCGCCACUCACUGGCUCUGUACCUUAGGUAAAUCCCAUAGCUUCUCUAACCUCAGCUUUGCCACCUGUGAAAUGGGUGAUGCUAAUAGCGCAGUGUCUCUCAGAGUUGUGAAGAUUUGAUGAGAUCAUAUGGCUAAAGCACGCAGUGCAGUGUCUGGCACAUUUGAACGCAAUCAUUCUAAUAACCCAGGUCUCAGCACCUCCCCCCACCCCAGCCAGGACAGUCUGGUCUUCUCUCCGAAGCCAUGUGCUCCAGACAUUUGGCCCACUCCCCUCUGUCCUCUUCCCUUCCCCAGCCCUGCUUGCCUGGCUUUCUCCUCCAGGAAGGUGUAGGGUUUCUGAGGGGGACCCUGUCGAAGAGUGGUACCCUCAGGCCUGGGAGAGCUUCGGGGACUGCUCCCAGGGGAGCUGACCACCUCCUUGGCCGGGCUGAGGCUCUGCACAGUCACCUUGGUAGGCUCAGGAGGGGGCUCAGGGGCUGGGGGCUCAGGGGCUGGUGGUGCAGACACAAAGGAAGUCACCACAUACACAGGAGUAGAGGAAGACACUGGUUUAACCCCUUGAGGAGUGGAGGCUGGGAUCGGGGUCCCAGUGUCAAGGACGAAAGGCUUGGGCUCACUUGGGGUGACGUGGGUACUGGGUAGGGUGGGCUCCGCUGGCCGGGCAGCCUGCAGGCCCCUGUGUCUUCGUGGAGGGGUUUGGGGUGGUGGACCCACAGCCUUGAGCGAGGACAAGGCCUGGCUAGGAGGUGUGGGGGGAGAUGAGGGGCUGACAGUGACUGACGGGGGUGUGGGGGCAGCAGGAGCUAGGGGUGGGGCCAGUGAGGUAGGAGAGUCAGGAGGCCGGGCCCUGGCUGGCCUUGAGGUGACAGGGGCCUCUUGGUGGGCAGCAGAUGGCACAGCUGAAGAAUCUAAGAGAGAGAGAAAAUCAUCACCGUGGUGCCUUGGGGCAAGGCCAUGGUGCUCCACAAGAACCCUAGGCUCAGAGCCCCCUUCCUCCUCCCACCCCAUACCAUUGCACUGACCUUGAGUACCCCUGACAAAGACCUUCUCAGAAGAGUUGCUGAAGGGCCCCUGCCCAGCACGGUUGGCACAGGCCACACGGAACCUCACAGUCACGCCAACUGGCAGGUGGGUCACGUUGUAGUAACAGUCGGGGAUGCCUGAGCUCACAGGGUGCCACACAGACUCCCCUAUAGGCAGUAUGGGGGAGGGGCUGAGGUCACAGAAGCGGUGGCCCCAGCUCCCACGGUGCUAUCUGUGG
rnacentral:lncRNA from 1 species